CAGUAGCCACGGUAAUACAGAGGGUGCAAGCGUUAAUCGGAAUUACUGGGCGUAAAGCGCGCGUAGGUGGUUCGCCAAGUUGGAUGUGAAAUCCCCGGGCUCAACCUGGGAACUGCAUCCAAAACUGGCGAGCUAGAGUAUGGUAGAGGGUGGUGGAAUUUCCUGUGUAGCGGUGAAAUGCGUAGAUAUAGGAAGGAACAUCAGUGGCGAAGGCGACCACCUGGACUGAUACUGACACUGAGGUGCGAAAGCGUGGGGAGCAAACAGGAUUAGAUACCCGCGUAGUCCCUGUCUCUUAUAC
rnacentral:rRNA from 1 species